GCAUUUCUCUCUGUGGCAAUCCUCCAGUGGCCCCAGCGAACCUGUCCUCACUCUGAGUAACACUGCUCUCACGUGGACAGAGAGACCUGUAAGGGACGGAAGCUUGGCUCCUCUCCUCACAGUCCAGGACAGAUCGCAGUUCCCCCGGCAGUCAGGGGUCGAGACUAACAGUGGCUCUCAGCUUGUGGUUCCAGGAAGUGGAGGUGCUGGAAUGCAUACCCAAAGAAGGCUUUAAGUCUAGGCCUGGAACUAACUGCCUUCACCGAGACACAGAACCACGACAGGGAGACCACUAGAUGCUAUUCGCUGUGUCUCAGGAAGGGAGGCCAGGAGACAGAGGAGAGCACAGCGAGCUCCCUGGCAUCUGACUGCACAGACUUCUCUGGCCCUUUCUUUAAAGGUGCUCUUACAGGAUCCAUACAGCACAGUGGCCCGUGAACUGCGGCCCCAGCUUCUGGAACAGGGACUGGAACACAGCAGACGCUGCACGAACGGAAGUGGCUAACCAAUAAGAGCAUGUUUAAGAUAUAGUGUUCCAAUUUCAUAUCUCAAGUUCAUCAGUUUUGGGGGGAGUUCUGUUAGCAAAGAAAUAAAAUACUGGCCAUGUU